GAUGAACGCUAGCGAUAGGCUUAACACAUGCAAGUCGAGGGGCAGCAUAAGAGUAGCAAUACUUUGGUUGCGACAGGCGCACGGGUGAGUAACACGUAUGCAACCUGCCCAUAACUGGGGGAUAACCCGUCGAAAGGCGGCCUAAUACCGCAUGACGACGAUGAUCCGCAUGGCGAUUCGUCUAAAGAUUUAUCGGUUAUGGAUGGGCAUGCGUUCCAUUCGAUUGUUGGUAGGGUAACGGCCUACCAAGCCUUCGAUGGAUAGGGGUUCUGAGAGGAAGGUCCCCCACACGGGUACUGAGACACGGACCAGGCUCCGACGGGAGGCAGCAGUGAGGAAUAUUGGUCAAUGGGCGAGAGCCUGAACCAGCCAAAUCGCGUGAAGGAUGAAGGUAUUAUGUAUUGUAAACUUCUUUUGUCAGGGAAUAAAGUGCGGCACGUGUGCUGUUUUGUAUGUACCUGAAGAAUAAGGAUCGGCUAACUCCCUGCCAGCCGCCGCCGUAAAAC
rnacentral:rRNA from 1 species